AUCAGAAACUUUUGGAAAAACCAAAACACCACACAUACUCUUCUUUCUUUCAGUUUUCUCACACCUAUACGCCAAAUCCUUCUUCUCUCUCAUCGCUCUUUCCCCUUUCUCCUGUGUCAAAUCUUCCUCUUAUCCACCUCCUUCUUCUCCUUUCAAUUUUCAGAAAAUCCGCCUGGCAUCAUGGGCGAAAUUUCCUCCAAACAGCAACUUUAAGUCAAAGACAAAGAAAGGUAAGAUCUGUGAAAUCUUUUCUCAUCUUCUCCUUGUUGGCCUCAUAAAUGCCUUUGAUAUUAAUUCAAAUAAAAAAAAUUUAACUUCAGAUUUUGUCUAUAACUAACAAGGUUUUCGCUCUCCAAAGAGACACACACAGAAAGAGAGAUCCGAGAGAAAAAAAAUUGACCUAAAAAAAAUCCAUUUUUGAAACUGAUUCAAAAAAAAACAGUAGCAAUACUCUCUACUGCAAGGUUUGGAUUCCAAAGAUCACUCUGUCUUUUAUUUUUUUUUGGCUUUGAAUUAAAGUUUGGAAAGGAGUUCGGAAUUGAGAAUCCUUGACAAGAAUUACUUUAGUUUGCUGCUCUGGAAAAGAGGGCUGGAGUUUCCACUUUUAAACUCAUUUUUGGCCCAAUGUUUUGGGCCAACAGUUAUUAGGAUCGUCAGAGCUCGGAGUCUCGUAAAUUAAGAGUCCAACGUUCCUUAACCUUUGUUCUUAUUAUAUUAUUCCGUUAUACUAACUCAUUUUUACAUAUGUAUGCAGUUCUCUUAAGUUUUGAUAAAUUUAAUCUCUUGUCCUUUUUUA